GCUGUAUUUUUGUUGCUAUAGACUCUUGAGUCUUCUAGUCCGACUGAUGAUGAUUUUGAUUGCUCCAUUGCGCAGUUAUCUGAUAAUCUUGCUAAGAGCAGAGUGAAGGAACAUUUACCACCUAAUGAUUAUCGUGUUGUUCUAUCAACUAAGAAUUAUGACUCCGAUUACAUCUGUGCCAGCUAUGUUGAUGGAUAUCGUCAGAGGUCAGCGUUCAUAGCUACACAGGGUCCAAUGAAGAACACUGCUGGUGACUUCUGGCGGAUGGUCUGGGAAAUGAAGUCAAUGAUCAUAAUAAUGUUAACAAACACUGAGGAGAAUGGAGAGGAGCAGUCAGUCCAGUACUGGCCUGUUAAUCCUAAUGAAGAAGACAUGUAUGGAUCAUUUAAUGUUGUGGCUCUACCUGAAGACAGGACUCUACCUGAUUAUGUUGUUAGGAAAUUCAAACUCUCUCAUUCCAAAAA